rnacentral:rRNA from 1 species
AUUGAACGCUGGCGGCAGGCCUAACACCUGCAAGUCGAACGAGUUGCGUACGGUUGAGUAAUGUCUUGGCAACUGCCCGAUGUUGGUGGCUAACUACUGUAAACGGUUGCUACUACCGCUUACCAUCGGAUGUGCCCAGAUGGGCUUAGCUAGUUGGUGGGGUAAUGGCUCACCUAGGCGACGAUCCCUAGCUGGUCUGAGAGGAUGACCAGCCACACCGGAACUGGGACACGGUCCAGACUCCUACGGGAGACAGCAGUGGGGAAUAUAGGACAAGGGGCGGAAGCCUGAUGGACCCAUGCGCCGUGUAUGAAGACGGUCUUAGUGUUGUAAAGUACUUUCGGCUAGGAGGCGUAACACGUAGAAGAAGCACCGGCUAGCUCCGUGCCAGCAGCCGCGGUAAUAC